GCCUCCACCUCUGGAUUGAGCCUCCACCUCUUGACUCUUAUGCUUUCUACCACAGAUAGUCUGAAGCCAUAGAUGACCACAACAGUGAGAAUUUAACAUAUACAUUCUGCUGUGGCCUUAUCAGACUUGAUGAAAUUUUCAGCUACCAAAGCCUAUCAUGGAGCUGCUGACUGAAGUUAGCUUCUGAGAGAGAAGAAGAUAAUUUUCUCUAAGAGUAUAAGCCCUGGACACAGAGAAAUCAAGAUAAAAACAAACUGGAAGCUUCCUCUCUCAUGGUUAGAUCGCAUGAGGCCCUACGAUUACCUGUUAUGUGUAUGUUAUGUAUGCUGGCAUCAAUCAAGAGUCUGUACUCAUCCCACCAUUAACUAUAGGCAUUAAAAAGAAACACA